rnacentral:rRNA from 1 species
ACCCGUCUUAAACACGGACCAAGGAGUCUAACAUGUGUGCGAGUUUUUGGGUGGCAAACCCAUGAGCGUAAUGAAAGUGAAUGCAGGUGGGAUCCGCAGGGAGCACCAUCGACCGAUCCUGAUGUUUUCGGAUGGAUUUGAGUAAGAGCAUAUAUGUUGGGACCCGAAAGAUGGUGAACUAUGCCUGAAUAGGGUGAAGCCAGAGGAAACUCUGGUGGAGGCUCGCA